GUUUGAUCCUGGCUCAGAGCGAACGCUGGCGGCAGGCCUAACACAUGCAGGUCGAACGAACUCUUCGGAGUUAGUGGCGGACGGGUGAGUAACACGUGGGAACGUGCCUUUAGGUUCGGAAUAACUCAGGGAAACUUGUGCUAAUACCGAAUGUGCCCUUCGGGGGAAAGAUUUAUCGCCUUUAGAGCGGCCCGCGUCUGAUUAGCUUGUUGGUGGGGUAAUGGCCCACCAAGGCUACGAUCAGUAGCUGGUCUGAGAGGAUGACCAGCCACAUUGGGACUGAGACACGGCCCAAACUCCUACGGGAGGCAGCAGUGGGGAAUCUUGCGCAAUGGGCGAAAGCCUGACGCAGCCAUGCCGCGUGUAUGAUGAAGGUCUUAGGAUUGUAAAAUACUUUCACCGGUGAAGAUAAUGACUGUAGCCGGAGAAGAAGCCCCGGCUAACUUCGUGCCAGCAGCCGCGGUAAUACGAAGGGGGCUAGCGUUGCUCGGAAUUACUGGGCGUAAAGGGAGCGUAGGCGGACAUUUAAGUCAGAGGUGAAAUCCCGGAGCUUAACUUCGGAACUGCCUUUGAUACUGGAUGUCUUGAGUGUGAGAGAGGUAUGUGGAACUCCGAGUGUAGAGGUGAAAUUCGUAGAUAUUCGGAAGAACACCAGUGGCGAAGGCGACAUACUGGCUCAUUACUGACGCUGAGGCUCGAAAGCGUGGGGAGCAAACAGGAUUAGAUACCCUGGUAGUCCACGCCGUAAACGAUG
rnacentral:rRNA from 1 species